rnacentral:misc_RNA from 1 species
UCUUGGCAGUCUCUUCAGUCCAC